AACUUUUGGCAAUGGAGCACUUGGUUCUGGCAUCGAUGAAGAACGCAGCGAAAUGCGAUAAGUAAUGUGAAUUGCAUAAUUCAGUGAAUCAUCGAAUCUUUGAACGCACAUUGCGCCCGGCAGCAAUCUGCCGGGCAUGCCUGUCCGAGCGUCAUUUCUCCCCUCGAGCUCGGCUGCCUCUCGGCGGCCGCCGCCCGGCGUUGGGGCUCUGCGGGCCCGUCCCGCAGGCCCCGAAAUGAAGUGGCGGUCCCGCCGCGGCGCCCCCUGCGUAGUAUAACGCCUCGCAUCGGGUCCCGGCGACGGCCAGCCGUCGAACCUUUCUUUUGAUGGUUUGACCUCGGAUCAGGUAGGGUUACCCGCUGAACUUAAGCAUAUCAAUAAGCGGAGGCU
rnacentral:misc_RNA from 1 species